UGGGCGCGUGCGAAGUUAGACAGAUCUACAACAAGCGUUGUCAAACCAAAUGAGAUGGCAAAUAACGAUUUUAAAGUUAGAAACUACGAUGAAGACUUCAAAUCAUGGAAAUGGAAGUAUUCCAUCAGCAAAGAGACGGACAAAUCAUCUUGUUUGGGACACAAACAUGUGAUAUCCGACGCUCGGGACACCUUUCAUUUCUGGGUGACAGAGCUGAGAUGUGGAAUCCCCAAGAUCUAGCUUGGACAAAGGACAGCCCCCAGAAAGAUGAAACAUGGCGAUAGAUGGGAGAAGACUAUUGGUACCAUCAAACCAUUAGGAUCUGGGCAAGUCAUUAUCAGUGUUGGUUCCUAAGUAAAUAUGCAACAAAGCUUUAACAUUCGUGGGCACUCAGUGCAAAUUGUGCAUCAGUGGCAACGAUGGAGGAGAACCAGUAUAUUUUGGUAGAUGUAUAUCACAGACGUAGAAAAAUAAAUAUCUGCUUUGUCCAUAGUGAUGAUGUAUUUUCUUACAGUAACUGUUAUUCUAUUUUCUGAAAAUAUGAUUGAAGACUA